AUUGAACGCUGGCGGCAUGCUUUACACAUGCAAGUCGAACGGCAGCGCGGGCUUUGGCAUGGCGGCGAGUGGGGCAUGGGUGAGUAAAGUAUAUCAACGCGUGUACUAGUGGGGGAUAGAGCGCGGAAAGCGCGGUUUAUACCCCAUACACCCUGUGGGGGUGAGAGCGGGGGACCUUCGCCCCUCGCUCUUGGGGGUUGCGAUGUCGGAUUAGCUAGUUGGUGGGGUAAAGGCUUACCAAGGCGACGAUCCGUAGCUGGUCUGAGAGGACGACCAGCCACACUGGGACUGAGACACGGCCCAGACUCCUACGGGAGGCAGCAGUGGGGAAUUUUGGACAAUGGGCGCAAGCCUGAUCCAGCCAUGCCGCGUGUGGGAAGAAGGCCUUCGGGUUGUAAAGCACUUUUGUUCGGGAAGAAAUCCUUUGCGCUAAUACCGCCGGGGGAUGACGGUACCGGAAGAAUAAGCACCGGCUAACUACGUG
rnacentral:rRNA from 1 species